rnacentral:rRNA from 1 species
GCUGACGAGUGGCGGACGGGUGAGUAAUGUCUGGGAAACUGCCUGAUGGAGGGGGAUAACUACUGGAAACGGUAGCUAAUACCGCAUAAUGUCGCAAGACCAAAGAGGGGGACCUUCGGGCCUCUUGCCAUCGGAUGUGCCCAGAUGGGAUUAGCUAGUAGGUGGGGUAACGGCUCACCUAGGCGACGAUCCCUAGCUGGUCU